UGGGGAAUAUUGCACAAUGGGCGAAAGCCUGAUGCAGCAACGCCGCGUGAGUGAUGAAGGCCUUCGGGUUGUAAAGCUCUGUCUUUUGGGACGAUAAUGACGGUACCAAAGGAGGAAGCCACGGCUAACUACGUGCCAGCAGCCGCGGUAAUACGUAGGUGGCAAGCGUUGUCCGGAAUUAUUGGGCGUAAAGAGCGCGUAGGCGGGAUAGUCAGUCUGUUGUAAAAGUGCGGGGCUCAACCCCGUGAUGGCAAUGGAAACAGCUAUUCUUGAGUGCAGGAGAGGAAAGUGGAAUUCCCAGUGUAGCGGUGAAAUGCGUAGAUAUUGGGAGGAACACCAGUGGCGAAGGCGACUUUCUGGACUGUGUCUGACGCUGAGGCGCGAAAAGCCAGGGGAGCGAACGGGAUUAGAUACCCCGGUAGUCCUGGCCGUAAAACGAUGGGUACUAGGUGUGGGAGGUAUCGACCCCUUCCGUGCCGGAGUUAACGCAAUAAGUACCCCGCCUGGGGAGUACGGUCGCAAGACUGAAACUUAAAUGAAUUGACGGGGUC
rnacentral:rRNA from 1 species